CACGUCAGCGUGAGAUGCUGACGUGGAAGGAAAGCACGCUCUCAAGGACGCGAUUUCCUUCCACGUCAGCAUCUCGCGCUGACGUGG
rfam:Gossypium hirsutum cultivar TM-1 chromosome 9, whole genome shotgun sequence